AUUGAACGCUGGCGGCAUGCCUUACACAUGCAAGUCGAACGGUAACGGGCCUUCGGGUGCCGACGAGUGGCGAACGGGCGAGUAAUGUAUCGGAACGUACCUUUCAGUGGGGGAUAACGUAGCGAAAGUUACGCUAAUACCGCAUAUUCUGUGAGCAGGAAAGCAGGGGAUCGCAAGACCUUGCGCUGAUUGAGCGGCCGAUAUCAGAUUAGCUAGUUGGUGAGGUAAAGGCUCACCAAGGCGACGAUCUGUAGCGGGUCUGAGAGGAUGAACCGCGACACUGGAACUGAGACACGGUCCAGACUACUACGGGAGGAAGCAGUGGGGAAUUUUGGGCAAUGGGGGCAACCCUGAUCCAGCCAUGCCGCGUGAGUGAAGAAGGCCUUCGGGUUGUAAAGCUCUUUCGGCCGGGAAGAAAUCGUAUCAGCUAAUACCUGGUGCGGAUGACGGUACCGGCAUAAGAAGCACCGGCUAACUACGUGCCAGCAGCCGCGGUAA
rnacentral:rRNA from 1 species